rnacentral:lncRNA from 1 species
GAGAAUAACAAUAAGGUAAAAUUUAACAAAAUAUUUGUGAUAACUACAAUGUUUUCCAAUUCCAUAAAAGGAAAUUGCCUAAACCAACAAUGUACAGCUCAAGUUUUCCGACAACUUACCAACCUUUUUAAAGCAAAUGAUACACUCAGCUACUGAGAGCACCCUUCGGAAGAUACAUAGACAAUUCGUCCUUUCAGAAGAUACAUAGACAAUUCCAAAAUAAUAACGAGAAUUACUUAUUUGACAGAUUCAAGCAGAGUACGAUGCAUACUUUAGGAGACGGAAGGUUUAGGGUAAGUGCUAGACUGAAAAGGAAAGAAAUGCUAAACUACCCCAUGACAUUCUUGUCAGAAUACUUUCAAGAUUACCUAUCAAGCCUCUCGGCCACUUCAAUGUUUGUAAGCCAUGGUGAUCUUUGAUAGCAGAUCCCCCUUUGUUAACUUGUAAUAUGAAUCCUGAAAUUGUGAUGUUAAGAAGUGAAAAUAAGUUAUUCAAACCAUGUGAGGAGAAGUAAAACUACAACUUAGAUAGCUGGAAAUAACUCCAUGAGAAAUAAUUAAAUAAAUAACGACCACUAAGCAAUGAAUGUUACAUGAAGCAAUGUAAGAGUAAAACAUAUUCAAACCAUUACUUCUAUUUUUUUACUUUUUUGACCCCUCAACAUUUUAGUUUGAAGUAUUUGACACAUUUACAAAACAGCACUCCCUUACUCUGUCCCACAUCGACGAAAUAUUAGCUCAUAAACCUCCGUAUAAGCAUAGAUCCAUAAUCCUAUGCUAAGUGGUUGGUUAGGUCGGCUGCCACGUUCCACGUUCACAAAAACUGGUGGUUGCCACCGUCAAACGAAAAAAAAUAAUCAAAAAUCCAAAAACGUCGACCUACCCAACCACUUUUUAGUUUUUUGAAAAGAAUAAAAUUAGAUCAGAAUAUUUCACUAGCUAGAUAGAGAAUAAAAUUUAAGAAAAAUAGAUAAUGUAAGAAAUGAGGCUGAGAAAUCCACUUAAGCAGAUUUUGAAAAGACGGAAAUAGGAGAAGAAUAUUUCACUAGUAUAUACCUAAUUAAAAUCUAUGUAGUUAUCCUGCAUAAUCUUUUUGUAUAGAAGAAGAAAAUUCAAAAUUUUAAGAAAUGAGGUUGAGAAAUCCACUUAAAACCAAAAAGUGGAGAAAAAUUAAGAACAUAAUAGACGAAUGACAUCUAAGCCUUAAGAAUAUCUGAAAAAUAAACCCCUCUCCCCCAAACCCCNNNNNNNNNNNNNNNNNNNNNNNNNNNNNNNNNNNNNNNNNNNNNNNNNNNNNNNNNNNNNNNNNNNNNNNNNNNNNNNNNNNNNNNNNNNNNNNNNNNNUAUUUGUAACAAUAAAGUAUGUUAUGAUAUAAAUCAUUAAAUUGACAGCAUAUGGUAUAAAUACACACUAAAACAGAAGAAAGAAGAAAAUUGGGGGAAGAAAAAGAGGAGGGCGAAGAGUGGGGUUAAGAAGAAAGAAGAAAAUUGGGGGAAGAAAAAGAGGAGGGCGAAGAGUGGGGUUAAGAAGAAAGAAGAAACAAAGGGGAAGAAAAAAUUUAGGAAAAAAAAGGUAAGGAAAAACAAAGCAAGAAAAAGGGGGAAGAAAAGAGAUGAAGUAAAAAGCUAAGAAAAAAGACGAAGAAAUGGGAGGAGGAAAAAACAGGGUAAGAAACCAAAAUGAAAAAAAUAUUACCUAGAGGCUUGUUCUAAUAGACUUCAUUAAGGCACGUUGUGCCUUGCACCUCAGGCCUAAGCCCAAAAUGCGUGCCUCUUUGAACGUGCCUUGCUUAGCCGUGACAGAGUGCGCCUCGCCAUGCCAUGCAUGGGCCUAGAAGUGCACCUUUAACAACUAUGAGCAAAAGCACAUCAUUUAUCAAGAAAAGUAAAUUCUCCCGCAACAAAUGGAAAGGCAAACAAACUUUGGAAAGGAAUCCUAGAUAAUCCAUUUUCAGAAUUUUCAUAAAAGCUGGAACUGUUCAACAUAUAAUUGGGGCUAAGCGACGUUUUUGUCAUAUAAUAGGAAGUUUACUUAUAUUCAGAUUCCAACAUAAUAAUAUAUGAAAAGAAUAGGAAAAAAAGGAGAUUUGAAAAGUGAUAAAAAAAUCAGUACCAUAAUUUGAAUCCUGGUAUUAUAAUAUGUGAUUUAAAACUUGUGAUAAGGAUUACUAUGGAACUCUAAUUCCCCUGUGUUCAUCGAACCUGGUACCAUCAUUUCAAAUCGUGCUAUGAGAACAAGAUGUCUCGUGCACUCUACCAUAAAUCGUGUUCUGCUGUCCACUUCCGCGUACCCGUUUCCAUUACGCGGUCACAGUCGACAAGCAUUCCUGGUAACCAUGCUUGUGAUAUUAAUGAUAGCUGGAAAUAAUUCAUUGAGAAAAGAUAAAUGGUUACUGAGAAGUGAAUACUAAAUGAAGGUAUGUAAAUAAAACAUGAACUAUCACUACAACUUUAUUGUUUUGUCACUUCAAAAUUUAGUUUGGAGUAUAGACACUUGUGCUAUUUGAAUAUAAUACAUAGCUCCAGCAACAACUAGACCAUUAAGAAAAAUAUAGUCAACACUGCUCUUGCCAGUAAGACAUAUAGAGAAAGAAACUGAGAGGAAUUCAAAGAAGAAUAAAAGGUGUACACUUCAACUUUUACCCUCAUAUAAUAAAGAAUAUGUAAUAGUUAAGAAUAGGGGUUGAUUAUAACAUUACUAUUUGGUAAUUUCUUUGCUUAUAAUAUCAUGCUAGUAAUCAAGAAGGCUGUGUCUAACAAGGGAUAACAUUUCUAGCUUCGUUUACCAAACAUCAAGCACUUUUCCUUAUUGUCUACAACUCAAAUCUAUUUGAGAAUCAGACAUAAUCUUGUUUCUUAGUUUCCAUUAAUAAUAUAAAAGUAUAAUGUAAGUGUUCCCAACUUGCUCUUAAUUUUGGCAACCACAAAAAUUACAAGGAGAGACAUACAAAACAGAACUCGUAAUCUUUGUCCCACAUCGACAACAUGUUUAGCUCAAAACCUCCUUAUAAGCAUAGAUCCAUAAUCCUAAACUAAGUGGUUUGUUAGGCCGGCUGCCACGUUCCACUUUCGAAAAAGCACACGGAAAAAAAUACAGAAAAAAUCCAAAAACGUCGACUUACCCAACCACUUUUUGGAAUAAAGUAAAAUAGUCUGAACCCUCUGAAGAUCUAAAUAACAACCCACCCACCCUCGCUGUCCCGCCCUCUCCUCCCAAUCCUUAACCAAGAAAAAUAUUUUUUUCCUCAGAACAACUGAAAAGACAGACUACGACCUCUGAAAUUAAAUCUGAAUAACCUCGCUUCAUGCUUAUAAUAAAUGCUAGAACUUUUUAACUCAUAAUUAGGCCUAAAUGAUACAAAAGAUUAUACACAUCUGUAUACUGUUGAUUAUAUAAGUUUACUUGCAAUCAACAAAAACAACUAGAUCAUUGAGAAAUGUAUACCCCACUUAGCAUUAAUUAGAGGUAUAGAGAGAAAUUUAAACAAGAAGAAUAAAAGGCGGCCACUUCAUCUUUUACCCUCAUACAAUAAACAAAAUUUAGUGCUCAAGAACAACGGUUCAUCAUUAUUUGGUAAUUUAUUUUCAUAUAAUUAUCAUGCUACUACGCUAGUGAUCAAGAAGGUUAUGUUGUAUAAGUGGUAAACAAACACCAAAUACUUUUCCUUAUGGUUUGCAACUCAAAUCUAUUAAAGAAUCACACAUAGUCUUGUUUCUUAGUUUCCAUAAAUACUAUAAUAGCUAUAACACGAGUGUUCCUCAACAUACUUCUAUUUUUCGCAACCCCAAGAAUGUACAUGAAAAGAUGUACAAUAUAGAACUCCCCUACUCUUUGUCCCACAUCGACAACAAAUUUGCUCAUAAACCUCCUUAUAAGCAUAGAUCUGUAAUCCUAAGUUGAGUGGUUGGUUAGGCCGUCUGCCACGUUCCACAUUCAAAAAACUGGUGGCUGCCACCAUCGAAUAGAAAAAAAUAGAAAAUUCCAAAAACGGCGACUUACCCAACCACUUUUUGAAAAAAUAAAAUAGGAGAAGAAUAUUAAACAAGUAUAUUCCUAAUUCAAAUCUAUGUAGGUAUUCUUGCAUAAUCUUUUUGAUUAAAAGAGAAAAUUUUAGCCGGAAAUAUAGAUGAUACAAGAAACUAACCUAAGAAAUCAUCUUAAAAUUAUGAAACGUAUCUCUUUAUUUACCAAAACUAACUAUCAAAGAAAUCCUCGUAAAACCCAAAAUUGGAGAAAUAUUAAGAGCGUAAGAAAGGACAAACAUUUAUAAUUAUAUAAAACACCAACCCCUUCCCUCAACCUCUUAAAUAAAUUGCAAUUCACAUCAUCACUCACCAAGAAAAGUAUUUCUCUCCAAAACAACUGCAAAGUCAAGCUACAACUACAGAGCUUUUCCUCGACGAUAAAUUCUUCUAUGGAUUUGGCUAUGAUUCAUCGAUUGAUGACUACAAAGUUGUCCGAGCCGCACAAGUAGAGACUCUUCAUGAAACCAAAGUUGAGGUAUUUAAUCUGAAAGAUAACUCUUGGAGAUUAAUGGAAGGAUUCGAUAAUCAAAUAAGAAUUAAACAAGAGGCUGGAAUCUUUCUGAAUGGAGCUCUUCAUUAGCAAGGAAGUCGAAUUGGUACAGAUUCUACUAAACAUAAGGUCAUUGUUUUUCUUGAUUUGGCAACUCAGAAAUUCGGAGAAUUCUCAAAGCCUAAUCCUGAUGAUAAGAAUGCUGUAGGAUUUCAUACUUUAUCAAACUUGGGAGAAUGCCUUUCUUUACUUUGCUAUGGCAAUCGGGGUGCUAAUGUUGAGGUAUGGAUAAUGAAAGAAUAUGGGUUGAUGUAUCUUGGAGUAAGUUGAUAAUCUCGAGACUGAUUGAAUUCGAGUACAUCUAUUACUUGAUACCAAUUUAUUUUACCAAGAAUGGUGAACUUAUAGUUGAUGUUGAUGGAAAUAAACUAGUAAGGUAUGAUCCUAAGGAAAAUACAUAUAGGAACUCAAGUAUCCAUGUGAAGAUUGGGACCGGACUGUAUACGUAGAGAGUUUAAUCUCUCCCAUGGCUAACAAUUGAGAGAUUAAUUGAAGGAAAAGAAUGAUAGGAAACUCUCAGGGGAACUAAAGAGUUAUAUUUUGUAAUUCUAAUUCAACAGCAGCCAAUUAUUCUAAGUUGUAACAUUAGCUACUUUACUACUUCAUAUACUACAUAAUGAAAGAAUCCAACUAAAGAUUUAAGAGAAUAACACUAUGGUAAAAUCCAACAAAAUACUUGUAAGAACUACAAAGUUUUCCCAUUCCUACAAGGAAAUUGCCUAAACCAACGAUGUACAACUCAAGUUUUCAACAACUUAUGAACCUUUUCAAAGGAAAUGAUAUACUCAACUACAUAUAAAUAACAUUUGCUUAUUUGGCGAGUACGAAGAGCACCCUUCAGAAGAUACAGAUACAUAGACAAUUCGUACCCUUUAGAAGAUACAUAGACAAUUCCAUAAUAAUAACUAGAAUUACUUAUUUGACAAAUUAAAGCAUAGUACGCUGCACACUUUAGGUCCUUCAAGAAGAUUAUGUCAAAUAAGUAGUAAACGAACAUCAAAUACUUUACCUUAUGGUUUGCAACUCAAAUCUAUUUAAGAAUCACACAUAGUCUUGUUUCUUAAUUUCCAUAAAUACUAUAAUAGCAUAACACAACUACACAAGUGUUCCUCAAACAUACUCCUACUUUUCGCAACCGCAGGAGUGUACAUGAAAAGAUGUUCAACAUAGAACUCCCUUACUCUUUGUCCCACAUCGACAACAUAUCUGCUCAUAAACCUCCUUAUAAGCAUAGAUCCAUAAUCCUAAGCUGAGUGGUUGGUUAGGUCGUCUGCCACGUUCCACAUCCAAAAAAACUGGUGGCCGCCACUAUCGAACGAAAUAAAAUAGAAAAUUCCAAAAAGGCAACUUACCCAACCGCUUUUUGAAGGAAAAAAAAACUAGGAGAAGAAUAUUAAACCAGUAUAUUCCAUAUUCAAAUCUAUGUAGAUAUUCUUGCAUAAUCUUUUUGAUUAAAAGAAGAAAAUUUUAGCCGGAAAAAUAGAUGAUAAAAGAAACUAAGCUGAGAAAUCAUCUUAGAAUUAUGAAACGUAUCUCUUUAUUUUACCAAAAUUAACUAUCAAAGAAAUCCUCGUAAAACCCAAAAUUGGAGAAAUAUUAAGAGUGUACCAAAGGACAAACGUCUAUAAUGUUAUGAAACACAACCCCCUCCCUCAAUCUCUUAAAAAAAUUGCAAUUCACAUCAUUCAUCAAGAAAAGUAUUUUCUCCAUAACAACUGCGAAGGCAAACUACAACCAUAAAAAACAAAUCACGCAUAUCUUGUUUCAUGAAUUUUAUAAAUGUUAUAACUAUUUAAUAUAUAAUUGGGGCUACGGGAUAUAAAAGACUACAAACAUCUGCAUACCGUGGUACAAUGCUUUUGUCAAAUAAUAUGGAAGUUCACUUGCAAUCACAUUUCAACACAAUUAUAUUUGAAAAGUGAAAAAUCCAUUACCAUAACUUGAAUCCUGAUAAAAAGAACAAGAAGAAAAAGAAGAGAAAGGUGGUUGCUUCAUCUUUUACCCUUGUAUAAUAAAGAAAACAUAGUAGUUCAGAACACAGGUUGAUUAUAAAUUUGCUAAUUUAUUUGCAUAUACUAAUAUUGUCAUGCGAGUAAUCAAUAAGUUAUGUCAAACAAGUAAUAUCAUUGUUAGAUUCAUUUACCAACAUCGUGUACUUUUCCUUAAUGUUUCCUACUCAGAUCUUUAUAAGAAUAAGACGUAAUCUUAUUUCUUAGUUAUGAUGAUGGCAUAACACAUGUAUUCCUCAAACUUGCUCUUACUUUUACAACCAAAUUAAUGUAAAUGAAAAUAUGUACAAAACCAAACUCCCUUUCUCUUUGUUCUUCAUCGACAACAUAAUAGCUCAUAAACCUCCUUAUGGGUAUAAACCCAUAGUCCUAAGCUUAGCAGUUGGUUAACCAUUUUCCACGUUCCACAUUCUAGAAAGCUGGUGGCUGCUACCGUCAAAUGAAAAAUAAAUAAAUAAAUAGUUAAAAAGCGCAAAGUCCACCUACCACUCUUUUCAAAAGUACAAAAUAGGACCUGAAUAUUUGACUAGCAUAUAUAGUUUUCAUGCUCAUAACCAAGUGUGAUGAUAUAUUCCCAAAUAAUUAGAUCAUUAGCAUUAUUUACUCACAACAGGUAUAUUUAUUGUUCCCAAAUUGUUAUUUAGCUAAUCAUUUGUUUGUAUUUAAUGUAUAUCUUUUAAUUAUUGUAGUAGGUUAUUUUAGAUUAGCAUUAGGAGUUGUUUCCUUAUUGAAUUAGGUUAUUUAAAUUAUAGUAUAAUUAGGGUCAGUAGUCUACAUAAAGUGAUGUAAUUUAUUGUUGAAAGACAGAAUUUAGUAUACUGAUUGAUUUGAGAUUGGCUUUCGCCUUUGGGCCUUAUUGUUCUUCCUUUUUUCCCUUAUUUCUACUCAUUUACCCAAUCCAAAAACCCUUCUCAUC